rnacentral:rRNA from 1 species
GACGAACGCUGGCGGCGUGCCUAAUACAUGCAAGUUGAGCGCUGAAGGUUGGUACUUGUACCGACUGGAUGAGCAGCGAACGGGUGAGUAACGCGUGGGGAAUCUGCCUUUGAGCGGGGGACAACAUUUGGAAACGAAUGCUAAUACCGCAUAAAAACUUUAAACACAAGUUUUAAGUUUGAAAGAUGCAAUUGCAUCACUCAAAGAUGAUCCCGCGUUGUAUUAGCUAGUUGGUGAGGUAAAGGCUCACCAAGGCGAUGAUACAUAGCCGACCUGAGAGGGUGGUCGGCCACAUUGGGACUGAGACACGGCCCAAACUCCUACGGGAGGCAGCAGGAGGGAAUCGUCGGCAAUGGACGAAAGUCUGACCGAGCAACGCCGCGUGAGUGAAGAAGGUUUUCGGAUCGUAAAACUCUGUUGGUAGAGAAGAACGUUGGUGAGAGUGGAAAGCUCAUCAAGUGACGGUAACUACCCAGAAAGGGACGGCUAACUACGUG